UUCAACAUGAUCAGACCCAUUAUAAUACUGCUUCAGUCACUGUACUGGAUCCAAGGUGCUGCAGAGGCAAAAGAUGUCAUUCAGCCCAACGUAAUCUGGGCUGAAAAGGGCCGUUCAGCCACAAUUCACUGCAAACACACAAAGGGAGUAGAUUACAAUCAGAUGUACUGGUUCCAUCAGCGCCAAGGAGAGUCUAUGAAGCUUAUUGUCCUCACAGCCACCUAUAUCAAACAGUCAGAGUUUGAAGAAGGUUUUAAUAAGGAGAAAUACUCAGCAAACAAAACAGCUGUUGAGAGUGGAUCAUUAACAGUGAACGAUCUGGAUUCUACUGACAGUGCUAUUUAUUUCUGUGCAGUGAGUAAACACAGUGUCAUCACCACAGGGAGAGGCUGUACAAAAACAUACUCUGUGCAUAUGUAUCACAGGCAAGAGGAGAAACGGAGAACACCUGAAGGGGGCAAUGUAUCACAAUAA